GAUGUACCCCCUCCGUCCUAAAAUUCUUGUCGUAGAUUUGUCUAGAUAUGGAUGUAUCUAACACUAAAAUGUGACUAGAUACAUCUGUAUGUAGAUAAAUCUAAGACAAGAAUUUUGGGAUGGAGGGAGUAUAAA
rfam:Triticum urartu cultivar G1812 contig1054844, whole genome shotgun sequence.